AGUCGAGCGGUACAGAGGGUAGCUUGCUACUUUGCUGACGAGCGGCGGACGGGUGAGUAAGGCUUGGGUAUCUGCCCAGUCGAGGGGGAUAACCGUUGGAAACGACGGCUAAUACCGCAUACGCCCUACGGGGGAAAGCAGGGGAUCUUCGGACCUUGCGCGAUUGGAUGAGCCCAAGUGAGACUAGCUAGUUGGUAGGGUAACGGCCUACCAAGGCGACGAUCUCUAGCUGGUCUGAGAGGAUGACCAGCCACACUGGGACUGAGACAUGGCCCAGACUCCUACGGGAGGCAGCAGUGGGGAAUAUUGCACAAUGGGGGCAACCCUGAUGCAGCCAUGCCGCGUGUGUGAAGAAGGCCUUCGGGUUGUAAAGCACUUUCAGUGGGGAGGAAAGGGUGAUGGCGAAUACCCAUCAUCUGUGACGUUACCCACAGAAGAAGCACCGGCUAACUCCGUGCCAGCAGCCGCGGUAAUACGGAGGGUGCAAGCGUUAAUCGGAAUGACUGGGCGUAAAGCGCACGCAGGCGGUCUGCUAAGCCAGAUGUGAAAGCCCCGGGCUCAACCUGGGAACUGCAUUUGGAACUGGCAGGCUAGAGUCUUGGAGAGGGGGGUAGAAUUUCCGGUGUAGCGGUGAAAUGCGUAGAGAUCGGAAGGAAUACCAGUGGCGAAAGCGGGCCCCUGGCCAAAGACUGACGCUC
rnacentral:rRNA from 1 species